AGCCUGCAUGCCUCCUCCUUGCCUGGGAAAGUGGCCAAGAUGGGGGUAGAAUCAGCCUGAUGCAGAGAGGGAUCAUCACAGGCUGGCAAACCGUGGACACCUGAAUCUGAGGACUACUGUGGGACAAGGUUGACUCUGAGUUAUGUAUUUCCAGCAUCCCUGCUCCUCCAUGGACAUGGUACACUAAGUAAAAGGGUGAACUUGGGAAUCCAGAAGCUGGGAGACAGAAUCUGGCCAGCCUGUCCUGACCAUCUCCGGAGCUGCUGUCCAAUGGGUUGUGAGGAUCUCAGGACUGUGACGACCAUGAUGAUAUGUCUAUUCUUGCAUGCUGGCAACAUCAAGUUUUCCUACCAUGCACUCCUCAGCAGUCCGGGCCAGAGUCCUGGAUGCCACGUGGGGAGACACAAGUGACGACAUCCAAAGGAGAGAAGAUGCCCACUUAAUAGAAGAGCUAACUGCUGCUCAGGAAGGACAAGUCCCUAGCCCAGAUCACAUGAUCCCCCCUUAACCUACUGGAGCCUGUCCCAGGCUCUGUGAUUGGUCCCAAAGAGCAAGGGCUCAAAGAGUCAGACUCCUAGCAGAACUGCCAUAAGGGAAAGGGACGGGGUGAGAGUCAGGGCUCCUGAUACUGUAGAAUGUUAGGAACCGCCUCGCCUCCCUCUACCUGCCUCAUUGCCAUCUCAGUUCAGUCAACAAGAACAGCAGGAGUGUCUCUAGAGUCCUCAAAGGGGUGGUAUGUGCCCUUCCCAGAAUCCCCACUGCAGCCAAGGACGCACGCAUUGAACCCAUGAAGAUGUCUCCUUCGUGUCUGCUGUUCUCAAACUGUUCUGUAGAGGGAGCAGUCUCUCACUAGCCCAGCAGAAGCAGGCACUAGUCUCUUUGAGGAAUUGCAGUCACCUGUAGCAGUUCCAGAGACCCACAAACCCCCAUCCCCCAACUCAUCCCGAGCUCUGUGAUCCUAGGCAGAAUCUUCAAAGCCUGUUCAGAGCAGGAAAUGAAACAAUGUGGCACAUACGUUACUCUAUGAAAUAAUUUACUUCAUCAUAAAGGAAAAAAUGGAGUAUUUCCU
rnacentral:lncRNA from 1 species